UACUGUUCUAGGCCAUCGUGCAUACCAAAAUGCCCCUCAAUUUGUUUGUUAAGCCAUUUUUUUGCCAUCUUUUCUACAGUAAAAUGACUUCCUUGCCCUCCUAGCCACACAUUUAUCCUCUCCGGUUUCGAUUUCUUUGGGUGCUUCUGUUCUCUCUUUCCAUUAGAUGUCGACACGUUGGUCUUCUGGAGCCUUCCAUCAUUUUCGAUUCGUGUCUCACAAACGCUUUUCUUCCUCUCAAUCCUCAUGUUUUCUGGCUCUCCGAUCUGGAGUUCUCUGUCUCUCUCUCUCUUUCACUUUCUUGCUAAGAACGACAAACUAGUCAAAAUUUAUGUAGAUAUUUUUUCUGGAAAAAUAGAAACGAUGCGUUGUUCUUCCUUCCUUCCUCAUCCCCAUCCAUUGGACAACAUCUCCUCCAUUUCGACCUCUCCCUUGGAAACCCGUCGGAGAUCUCUUUAGGGUUCUUUGUCAUAAUCUCUGGAGAAAGAAAUUUGAUUUUUUUUUGUUUUUAAGUUUUUGGUUUGUGGGUCUUUAAUUUUUGACUUUCUGUGCAGGUAAAGAGGUUUCUUUGUCAAAACCUUUGGAGAAAGAAAUUUAUUUUUUUUUAAUUUUAAGUUUUUGGUUUGUGGGUUUUUAAUUUCUGACUUUCUAUGCAGGUAAAGGAAGAACCCAGAAGAUAUAUGUUUAGCUUGAUUCCUCGGCCGAUCACCUAUGACAACUCACCGGAACCGAAUGUCGCUGAGUUUCGUUUGUCAAAGACGAUGGUGAAUUUCGGGGUGCUAUAUAUUUGGGGUAUUUUAAAGUUUGUUGUUUUUGGGUAAUUAAGUUGAAAAGAAUUGUAAUAUUGUGGUUUAUGUUUGGAUCUUGCAGUUUUGGAUAGAUUGAAGUCUGCAUAUGGGUGAAACAUGAAGGUACAGUGGCAACAACUGCAGAGGUAAGCUCUCUGAUAAAUCUUCUAAUUCACUCUUUAUUUCCACUGCUGACGAUGCCGAUCGAAUUCAACUACAAAGCCUGCACCAUCCCCUACAGAUUUCCCUCCAACAAUUCCCGAAAGCCCACUCCCACUAAGCUCUCUUGGACCGACCUCUUCUACAACUCCACCCCUCCUUCAAGUGAUAAUUGUAAAACCCCACCCCUAAUUAUAAAGAUAAUUUUGAGUUUUUAUUUAAAAAUUGUUUUUAAGGCCUUAAUAGGUGUGCCCAGGGGGCCCACCUUGUUUUUGUGUCCUUGGUUUUUCCCUUUUUUUUUUUUUCUGAUUUCUAACAUACACACACACACACACAUAAUUCCCUCUCUCCUCUCCCUCACCUUUCUUGUAACUUUCUCUCUCUCUCUCAUUUUCUCCCUCACCUCUAUUCUCUGCACCGAAAGCCAUAGACCACCACCAUCCUAAACCUCCGUUUAAAUAGUACCUCUAAACCCUCAAAUUAAGCAUAUAUGUGGCUUAGGAAAUCGAAUGGUGGUGUUGCAUGUCCAGUUUGAUGACGGAGUGGAGCUGAACAAAAAGCUUCAUAGUUCUUGUCGAAUCUAGGGAAGAGCUGAGCCUCAUAAUCCCUGCUUUGGAUCGAGAUUCCCCCUAUAAUGUUUCAGCAUCUGGCAGUUCCCUCCGGCGGAACUUCGACGAGUUCUAAAGCAAACCUAUCCUAAACUAGGGAAUUUCUCAUCUAAGUUUUUCUAGUGAAGAUGUCCAGCAAAGCUUCGUUGAAUCCAAAGGGAUUUGAUUCGAAUUCAUCUAUUUCCAUAUUCUGGAAACCGGUGACAUUCCCUGGUCUUUCCUGCGAAUUUGUGAUGGACUCGACUACCUGGUGCCCAAAUAUGUGUUUAGGUGAAGUUGCUAGUGGGGAUUUCCUUAAUUCUUUUUCGCACAAUUCUGCUGCUAUGGAGUAUCUGUGAGUGGACCCCCUUCUAAAAUUUACAUGAUUUCAUAGUUUAAUUGCAUAAAUGAAUAACAUGCCUUACGAGUUUAUGAACUGAUUUUAUGUUAAGCAUGUUUAUGGAAUAUAUUGUUUAUCGUCUCGUUUUUGGUGAGGAAUUAAUUAGUAGCCUAUAUUGAGCUAUA